rnacentral:rRNA from 1 species
GUGUAAUGAGGAUAAUUUACAAACCUUACCGAAAGCAAUUGGAGGGCAAGUCUGGUGCCAGCAGCCGCGGUAAUUCCAGCUCCAAAAGCGUAUAUUAAAGUUGUUGCAGUUAAAAAGCUCGUAGUUGAAGUUCUGGCUGUAUUGGGCCUCUGCACUCGAUGCGGAGGAACCAGCAGUCAUCCGCUUGCAAAUACAUGUCCUUCCUUAACCGGUAGGCUGUAUAAGUAAGCACUUUACCUUGAGAAAAACAGAGUGUUCCAGGCAGGUUUGUCCGGAAUGCGUUAGCAUGGAAUAAUAGAAUAUGACUGAAGUCGAUUUAUUGGUUAAAGGCUUUAGUAAUGAUUAAUAGGAACAAUCGGGGGCGAUUGGUACUUGUCAGUCAGAGGUGAAAUUCUAGGAUUUGACAAAGACUAACUGAUGCGAAAGCGUUUGCCAAGAAUGUUUUCAUUAAAUCAAGAACGAAAGUUAGGGG